GGAGAAAUACCCAAGCUCGGUUGAAGGGAUCGGUCUUGAAAACCGACAGGACGUGUGAGCGUCGCGGGGGUUCGAAUCCCUCUUUCUCCGCCA
rnacentral:tRNA from 1 species